rnacentral:misc_RNA from 1 species
CUUAUCAUUGCGCGCUAAUGCACGCGGUGGGACUCGAGCAAGUGCUAGUACUCGACUAAAGCGUAUGCUGGCUAUACAGAAGGUUUCAGCAAGCCAUGCCAAGCACUGCGGAGGAAUCGUUGCCGCCGCUUUUUGUACUGCAAGAGCAUGCAGAUCCGGUUCUUAGCUGCAGGUUCUACCCAUCGGAGGUUUACCAGCGGGAUGAAUCAAGCUGGUUCCUCUCGGGAGAUGCUGGUGGCCUCGUAGUGUUGUGGAACCUUUCCACAAGGCGCAAGAUGAUCUCGUUUUCCGCCUUGACGGAAGCCCAUCGGCAGCUCUGUGGCAUCUCACAACACCGUCGUAAUUGCGGCACGCCCGUAGCAGGUGGUUUGAUGCCGGAAAACGAGGUGCUGCUGGAGCAAGCUGGUACUCCGGCCUUCGGCCCACACAGUCAGAGCAUUUUGUCCGUGGGAUUCAUUCCUUUGUCGCUUUCGUCUCCACAGCCAACGGUAGUCACGGAGAACAGAAGAGUUGUUGCGGACGCAUUGGCGCGUGACUCAGAUGCAGAGGUAUCGAGCGGUGCUGUGUGCCCCGCCGUCUUUGACCAUGCCGCAAGGGGCACCAGUGAUUGGGCGCACCCAGGGCGGCCGCGAUUUCGGCUUUCCCGACGGGCACCAACCCGCAGCGUCAGUUCUGAGCAGGCGUCUUCUUCAACGGGGGACGUUCUGGAUAGCGGUGCGCCGGGUUCCGCCUUCACACCCUCGUCGACAAUUUGCUUUUACACACACUGCCGCGAUCAACGGGUGUACAUAUGGUGCCUGGAGCGCCAGUGCACUGAUGCACCUGCUUCUUCACCGGCCACCCGAGUACCGCAGCUUGUCGUGGUGCUCACAGCCCCGCAGCACGGCUUCUGUCCAGUGGAGAGCAUCUCGAAGGCCGCGAGCCCUUUCACGCGGACGUACCUCGCCGUUCCUCACGAGUCGGGAGGUGAGGUGACAAUCUGGGAAUUGUCGUGGCGACAGCCCAACACCGCGCGUCUCACGAAUUCAAGAGAGCUGGAAGGAAAAGGAGCUUCUGACGAUCCCCGCUCGUCGUCGGGGAAUGCGAACGCUUAUGAGGAAGAGGAGGAAGAGGUUAACACGUCAGGGAUGAAUCCGAUGGACGCUCUCAUUGCACGAGCAGCCGCAGAGGAGCAACGGCAGGCGAAGAUGAAGCAGAAGUCCACCAGAGUCUCGAGAGAAAGUGAUUUUCACCAUCCUUAUCCAUCCUCAGCUUUUCCCGAUUCUGUGGUUUCCAGGGGCGAACGCGCCUCGAUCCUGUGUUACGUUGACCCUGCAGCCACCACAACCUCCAGCAACUUCUCAGUCCGGCGCUUGUGCACUUUUUCGGCGUGCCCCACGUUCAAGGGAGGCACGAUCAUGCGCCUUACCAUGUGCCACGACGCGCAGCACCUUACUGUCGCAUUUGAGAGCGGCCACAUCGUGCUGGCUCGCUAUCGCGACGCGGACGUGAUUGACGUGGCAGACCAGCCGAGAGGGGCAUGUCACGCUGGUGGAUCUUUGCCUGUUGCCCGGGUGCGCAACGUCACCCGCGCUUUUGCCGACUCGGCGCUGGUCUGCUGGUGGAGUGGGCGACGCGUGCUUGCCUGCUCCUCGGAAGGAGGCAUGCACUGCUAUGACGUCUCGGCGACAGCGGAGGGCCUCUUGGAGGUGCACCUGGUGUGGAGUGUGACACUGCGCAAAGGGAUUGGUAGCGUCUUCUUGCAAAGGAAUCUCAUCGUGGCUGGCUGCUGGGACAGCACGCUGCGGCUGUACGACGCGCGCGAUGGGCGAAUCGUCAGCAUUCUCAGCUACCAAAGAGAGACGAUAAAUGAGGUGCGCACGGCACCGCCGUCGAUCGCGCGGGUGGCGGCGUUUGGGUUUGACGUGCGUAAGCCAAGGCUGUAUGCCGGCUUGCCUGGCGCCUUAUCAACCAAGAGCACGGCCUGCAUUGCAUCCAACUCGACGACCCUCACGCAGGGCAGCCUGCCACAAUUCAGUGAAUCGCCUUUGCGCGAAACCUACGUCGCAGGCACGCCGGCCCCACACAGCAGCUCGGAAUCGCUGGCUGCAGAGGAGCAGCUGGUAUACUUGUUUGCGUCUGCGAGUAAGGACUGCACUGUGGCGCUCUGGCGUGUGGACCUUGGACUGGUGGUGGAACAGACCGCUCGCGAAGCCAUCACUGCUUAAAGUCUGUGAAGAUGUGAGAUGGACAAAGCGAAAAGAAGGCAACACGAGAGCCUAAGGUUCCUUAUUGUGAUGAUUUCCAUGUUCCCACUCGUGCAGCCACGCUGGUGUGCGAGGCAACAAGCGAUGGCACAAGGGUGCGCAUCAUCAGAUGCCCAAGGCGGGUGGCCCUUGAUGGUUGAGACAGCACACGCCGCACAAUCCCUUC